AUUGAACGCUGGCGGCAUGUCUUACACAUGCAAGUCGAACGGUAACAGGUCUUCGGAUGCUGACGAGUGGCGAACGGGUGAGUAAUACAUCGGAACGUGCCCGAUCGUGGGGGAUAACGAAGCGAAAGCUUUGCUAAUACCGCAUACGAUCUACGGAUGAAAGCAGGGGACCGCAAGGCCUUGCGCGAACGGAGCGGCCGAUGGCAGAUUAGGUAGUUGGUGGGAUAAAAGCUUACCAAGCCGACGAUCUGUAGCUGGUCUGAGAGGACGACCAGCCACACUGGGACUGAGACACGGCCCAGACUCCUACGGGAGGCAGCAGUGGGGAAUUUUGGACAAUGGGCGAAAGCCUGAUCCAGUCAUGCCGCGUGCAGGAUGAAGGCCUUCGGGUUGUAAACUGCUUUUGUACGGAACGAAAAGACUCUGGUUAAUACCUGGGGUCCGUGACGGUACCGUAAGAAUAAGCACCGGCUAACUACGUG
rnacentral:rRNA from 1 species